UGCAAAAGAAUUAAUAAUUUUUUCCCUAAAUUGUUUUCUUUUCAGUUCUUGCAUCUGCCAUAUUGUGAUUUUAGAAUCUAGUUCAGAAGUGACCAGUGUGAAGGUGUGAUUUAUCAAAUUAUUUUUUCAGGCAGUUGGAAUUUGCAGAAAUUCCUUGAGUCUGUAUAACAGUAGUGCAAUAAAAGUGGCUUUAACUACCUAUUUUUGUGUUUAGUUUUAGAAAACCUCUCCCCAGAGAUUCAGCUUGUCUAUAAAUUCAGUGAUAAUCUAAAAAAUAUGAAGCAAAAGAACGAGAUAAAUCCGCUGGCUCAUAAGAUGAGUGAAACUGAACAAUCUCAGUCUCUGCUCCGAUUUCACAUCGAUUAAAUGAUGAAGAUGACUCUCCAGAAAGAAGCCUACUGUCAAGUGCAGUUGUAAAAGAGACAUUAAUGGCUCCAAAGGAAUGGACACCACGGAAUGUAUUUCCAGGGGUUUUAAAAGAUUGUCAGAGUGCCACUAUGACCAUUACUGAGAUAGAUAUUACGGUAAAAGAUAAUUCUCUUGAGAAGUCUAUACCUGACUUUAUUUUAUCAUCAACAUCAGAGAAGAUUUCCAGGGAAACAUUAACUGUACAAAGUAUAAUGGGUGAUGAAUUUGAAAUUAGAGAUUUGCUGAAACCAUUCAGUGAUUCAGAGAGUCCAGAAAUGAUAAACCCCUUGCAUGACACGUUACAGUGUCAAGGUGAUGCUCUAUCUGUAGAUAUAUCAGUAGAUGAGAACAGCAAUGUCCUGCCAAUAGAGCUUCUGACAGCACUGAACUCCUUUUCAGAAUUUGUAGUACAGCCUGUCCGUCAAUUAGUAGGGAAGGAAAGAGAGCUUAAUGCUGAAGAAGAACAUGUGAGAUCAGAAUCCAGUAUUUUCCAGAUAGAUGACUGCACUCAAAUAACAGAUAACAGUUUUGAACCUCAAUUUUCUGUGAAGCAAUUGGAAGAAAUAAAAGCAUUAACAGAGGCUCCAUUUCAGUGUACUUUAGAUGAACAACUUGUAGGUAACCAGAAGAACCAGGAUUUGAUAAUUUCUGAUUAUUGCAAUGUCGCCUCUUAUGACAAACAAGCUGGUGAAGGAAAUUCCGGUUCAAUAGAGAAUACCUCGGGUAUAGAAACUACCAAAGCAACUUCUUGUAUAUUAAGGAGGUCAACUCGAUUAAGAGAAAACUGCACUAGAAAGCACAUAGAUGAAGCUUCCAGUUGUUAUAAAAUGCUAGAAGAAACUCACCAAAGAAUAUAUAGUAAUGACGAAGAAACAGGAAAUAAACU
rnacentral:lncRNA from 1 species